UCCUCGUUUAAGCGAGGCAGUCUGUCCAGAGUGCUCCCAGCUCUCGCCGGGGUGGCAACAGGACACAAGGGUUGCGCUCGUUGCGGGACUUAACCCAACAUCUCACGACACGAGCUGACGACAGCCAUGCAGCACCUGUGCAAGCUGGCAUUGCUGCCUCGUCGGACUUUCAUCCUUCUACUACUUGCAUGUCAAGGCCAGGUAAGGUUCUUCGCGUUGCAUCGAAUUAAGCCACAUACUCCACCGCUUGUGCAGGCCCCCGUCAAUUUCUUUGAGUUUUAAUCUUGCGACCGUACUUCCCAGGCGGCAUAUUUAUCGCGUUAGCUUCGCCACAAAAGGGGUCGAUUCCUUUUACAGCAAAUAUGCACCGUUUACAGCUAGGACUAC
rnacentral:misc_RNA from 1 species